rnacentral:rRNA from 1 species
UCAAGUCAGCAUGGCCUUUAUAUCCCUGGGCUACACACACGCUACAAUGGUCUGUACAAUAGGUUGCCAAGCCGCGAGGCGGAGCCAAUCCUUAAAGCAGGCCUCAGUUCAGAUUGUAGGCUGCAACUCGCCUGCAUGAAGAUGGAGUUGCUAGUAACCGCAGGUCAGCAAUACUGCGGUGAAUUACCGGUUCCCCGGGUUCUU